GUCUAUGGCCAAACUACCCUGAACAAGCCCGAUCCAGUCUGAUCUCGGAAGCUAAGCAGGGUCAGACCUGGUUAGUACUUGGAUGGGAGACCACCUAGGAAGACCAGGUGCCAUAGGAG
rnacentral:rRNA from 1 species